rnacentral:antisense_RNA from 18 species
CGCAAUGGUGGCUACGUGCGGGUGACCUCUUGGUCAGCCGGGUUUUCGCCUCGUAAUGCCCCGGUCUUGCAGGCCCGUACGUAGCUGCCACCCU